rnacentral:lncRNA from 1 species
CUCAGUUUCUUGAUACCCAUGUUGGCUGGCUAACAACCACUGGGAACUCCAGAUCCAGGGCAUCUGACACCCUCUUCUGGCCUCUGAGGCACCACACACACACACACACAUACACACACACACUCCACAGCCCCCAAGAGGAAUACAAGAUGAUAUAAACCUUUAAAAUAUAAGCAAGCAAGGAAUGUGGUAGAGGCAGGCAGAACCAUUCUCCAAUCCUUCCCCAAAUCUGUCAGCAGCUCCAGGAGUUGCCAGGAGGAUGCUUCAGUGACCUUUACGGCUGUGUGUCUAAAUAACAUCCGUCUAACCUCUUAAGCCACUGGACAUUGGAGCUGUGCUGUGACCAAGUAACUUUCCGAGAAGAAAGGAUGCCAGGAUCCGGGACUGUCUACUCAGGAAUACCACGAGAGAAUCUCAACAUUUCUGAUAAUAGACUGUUCAACCACAGACAAGAGAUGCAUCAUAAUAGGAGUUGAAUCUUUAGCUGGUUUGCUUGUUUAGCCUGUUGCUGCCAGGAGGACACCACAGAGAAGACAGGUGGAAACCAACAUCUUGCUCCUAUGAACUUAGCACCAGGAGACCUGAAGGGUAAUUUAUGUGUAGAGCAGACAUCGGGCUGAUCAGUAAUUGGAUUGUCAACCUGGGAAUAACCUACUUCUGGAGGCACCACUCCUAGAACAGCGUGGCCAAGCACUAGAGGCAUUCAACACAGUGGCAUCUACCUGCAGAUAUCUAAUAAACCUCUGGUGUUCAGACACUCACAGACAGAAAGGGAGGAAGACUACAAGGGACACCGACAUUUCACUUCUUCAUUCAUCUUAGAAAGGAAACGAUACGAGAAGACUACAGUAACUACAUGUGUAAUAAUUUUAUUCUGCCAGCUGCUGUCUCAGAAAAUGCUCUACCUCAAGGGUAGCCAACCAGCACAAAGAAAGACAGUAGAAUAUGGUAAUUUAUUUAUUCAUUUGGUCAGUCAUCCAUGCUCCUUUGAAUUUCAGAUCAUGAAGCCAAUUGCCCUAGUACUGUUUCCUGAAUAAUUCAUAAUUUCCCC